GUUGAUCCGUGAGCCUAAGUCUAUGGUUCUCUGAAGCAAAGGUGCCAGUGAAGUUGCUUCAUAAAAAAACAAAACAAAACAAACCUUCCAGAAUCUUCCAUUGGAGAAUUGUCACCUGCAAAGACCUCUGAGAGAUGUAAUCCAUUCCAUUCAGAAAGACAUGCCUAAAGAAUUAGGUCAUGCAUGGAGGAAGAAGAGCAUGGGACAUAAUAUAAGAACAUGAAUCAGGAGAACUGUCUUGUCCUCACUGGUAUUUGUGAUCCCCAAGCUCUGUGUGUGUGUGUGUGUGUGUGUGUGUGUGUGUUGGGGGGGGGCGUGUGCGUAUGUGCUUUUUGUUUGUGUGCUUUGAGAGGCUGGAAGUAGGUAGAGAUGAGGGGGAAACAGAAGGGGAGUAGCACAAGCUCAUUCCCAAAAUGCUGUCUUAUAAUUAUUUUCUAAAUACUAUUAUAAUCACACUUACCUGCUAGCAGAUCAGUGAUACUGAUGAAAAUGGCAUAUCUAAACGGGACAGGUUACAUCAAGUUUUCUAUCGGAGGCCCAUGAAAGCCAGCUAAAAAUUUUUUCCUAACUUCAGCUAGGACAUUUUUUUUUUAAUUUUUUUUUCAACGUUUAUUUAUUUUUGGGACAGAGAGAAACAGAGCAUAAACGGGGGAGGGGCAGAGAGAGAGGGAGACACAGAAUCGGAAACAGGUUCCAGGCUCCGAGCCAUCAGCCCAGAGCCUGACGCGGGGCUCGAACUCACGGACCGCGAGAUCGUGACCUGGCUGAAGUCGGACGCUUAACCGACUGCGCCACCCAGGCGCCCCAUCUAGGACAUUUUUUAAUCAGGAUUCUCCCCUCAAGAGUAAAUUGUCAUAAGGGCUCCCUGUGACGGUUUAUUUUUGCUGUCUUUCCACGAUGGAGAAAAGAGAGACGAUUGGAAAUGGGGCCGUGUGGAAAUGAAACCGGGACUCCAGGUGAAGAGACAGACACAGGUAGACCCCGGCACUGUGUCGAUUCUAGCAGAAGAGGCACAUUUUUCUGGGUCCUGGCUCUGAGUGUGCGUGUGCGAGGAGUGGAGUGGCCAUCAUCUCAAAGAGACCGGGUGAGAAGGUGGCAGGUGCUGAAUGGAAACACCAACAGACAGAAUUGGAGAGGAGCACUUGGUAGGACGCUUCCUAAAAACCCUGCUUUGCCUCAUCGGUAUGCUGUUCCGGAACAGUUCUGCCUGACGCGGUGCUCCCGCAGGAUGCUCUCCAGGAACAUUCCGGUUAGCCUACCUCAGAAGAGUAACAGCCUGUGCGUGAACCCGUUACCCUCAAGACUUUGCUCUUCUUUCCACAAUACCUUUUGGUGGCCAGUCGACUUCUUCGACUUCCUGUUAGCUUUUCCAAUGGUUGGUUCGGAAACUCAAGUGAUUCUAGCCUUGGCUAUGUGGUCUCAGGAUUCGCACAACUAGUUUUCCUCGUUAUGAAU
rnacentral:lncRNA from 1 species